GUAGAUCGAAAAGUAGUUUGUGCCUGCUGCUGGAUAAGCUGAGCCACCACUUGACAUACACCAGCAAUAUCCGCCUGAGUGGCCGGUGCUCAGGAGCCCGCUCAACUGGUUGAUAGGCAGCUUCCCGUGACGUCAAUCUUGCUUCUCUUGUCCUAGCAGCCAUAUUUGCCAAGAUCUCGCCCUCCCUAUCGCUCAUCGCUUC
rnacentral:lncRNA from 1 species